rnacentral:rRNA from 1 species
GACGAACGCUGGUGGCGUGCUUAACACAUGCAAGUCGAACGGGGUUAAGGAGCUUGCUUCUUAACUUAGUGGCGAACGGGUGAGUAACGCGUGAGGAACCUGCCUUUCAGUGGGGGACAACAGUUGGAAACGACUGCUAAUACCGCAUAAAACCGUAGUACCGCAUGGUACAUCGGUCAAAGAUUUAUUGCUGAAAGAUGGCCUCGCGUCUGAUUAGCUAGUUGGUGGGGUAAUGGCCCACCAAGGCGACGAUCAGUAGCCGGACUGAGAGGUUGACCGGCCACAUUGGGACUGAGAUACGGCCCAGACUCCUACGGGAGGCAGCAGUGGGGAAUAUUGGGCAAUGGGCGAAAGCCUGACCCAGCAACGCCGCGUGAAGGAAGAAGGCCUUCGGGUUGUAAACUUCUUUUACCAGGGACGAACACAAUGACGGUACCUGGAGAAAAAGCAACGGCUAACUACGUGCCAGCCGCCGCCGUAAUAC